rnacentral:lncRNA from 1 species
CCUCCCUACGAAAGAUAUUGUCUUUUCCAAUUGGAAAGUUUAUUUUUCCAGUAUUCCAUCCCAAAUAGAGAUAGAAGACAACACCAAGGGGGAGGCCCAAGAUAAGUAGUAGGCAAGGUUCCAAUAUUGCAUCCGAAAAAGUCGGCGAGCAUAAGGAUAUUUGGAACGUCAUUCACGGGAAACAGUUUAUUCUUAGAAAAAUUUAUACAGGGCCCUGAGGUUGCC